rnacentral:rRNA from 1 species
GAAAGUAAGCAAGGGCAGACGGUGGAUGCCUUGGCUCUCGGAGGCGACGAAGGACGUGAUAAGCUGCGAAAAGCCCGGGGGAGGCGCAAAUAGCCGUUGAUCCCGGGAUAUCCGAAUGGGGCAACCCGGCAGGCUGAAGGCCUGCCAUCCCGUAAGGGAGGCGAACGUGGGGAACUGAAACAUCUAAGUACCCAUAGGAGGAGAAAAUAAACAAUGAUUCCGUAAGUAGUGGCGAGCGAACACGGAAGAGCCCAAACCCAUGUCGUCUAGGCGACACGGGGGUUGUAGGACCACGACGUGGCAAGAGGAUGGCAAGUGGAACGCCUUGGAAAGGGCGACCGUAGAGGGUGAUAGUCCCGUACACGACUGCCUGCCGAAGCCUAGUGGUAUCCUGAGUAGCGCGGGGCACGAGAAAUCUUGCGUGAAACUGCGGGGCCCAUCCCGUAAGGCUAAAUACUCCCGAGAGACCGAUAGCGAACCAGUACCGUGAGGGAAAGGUGAAAAGAACCCCGAGCAGGGGAGUGAAAUAGACCCUGAACCCGUCUGCCUACAAGCGGUCGGAGCGUCGUAAUGACGUGACGGCGUGCCUUUUGCAUAAUGAACCUACGAGUUACCUUCCCCGGCAAGGUUAAGUUCUUGAGGAACGGAGCCGAAGCGAAAGCGAGUCUGAACAGGGCGCCAAGUCGGGGGGGGUAGACGCGAAACCGAGUGAUCUACCCUUGGCCAGGUUGAAGGUUGGGUAACACCAACUGGAGGACCGGAUGGGUAAGCGUUGAAAAGCUUUCCAAUGAGCUGAGGGUAGGGGUGAAAGGCUAAUCAAACUCGGAGAUAGCUCGUACUCCCCGAAAUGCAUUUAGGUGCAGCCUCUUUAUAGUAUAUCGUGAGGUAGAGCGACUGAUUGGAUGCGAGGGCUUCACCGCCUAUCAAGUCCAGAUAAACUCCGAAUGCGCGAUAUAUAUUUACAGGGAGUGAGGGCGCGGGUGCUAAGGUCCGUGUCCGAGAGGAGAAGAAUCCAGACCACCGGCUAAGGCCCCCAAAUGAUCGUUGAGUUGAACUAACGAGGUCGGAUCGCAGAGACAGCUAGGAUGUUGGCUUGGAAGCAGCCAUUCAUUUAAAGAGUGCGUAACAGCUCACUAGUCGAGCGAUCUGGCGUGGAUAAUAAUCGGGCAUAAACGAUCUGCCGAAGCCGUGGAUGUCGUAAGACAUGGUAGGGGAGCAUUCCAUGCGGCGUCGAAGAUGAGGGAUGACCCUUGUUGGAGCGCAUGGAAAAGCAAAUGUAGGUAUGAGUAACGAUAAGGGGGGCGAGAAACCCCCCCGCCGAAAGACCAAGGUUUCCUGAUCAACGCUAAUCGGAUCAGGGUGAGUCGGGACCUAAGGCAAAGCCGAACGGCGCCGCCGAUGGAAGAAUGGGUUAAUAUUCCCAUACUGCCUCAUGGAGUGACGUGGAGACGGAGAAGUGACAGUCCUGCCGGCUGACGGAAUAGCCGGUUGAAGGGUGUAGAUAUUGAUUCCCGUAGGCAAAUCCGCGGGGAGAGUCGAACCUGAGAGUAUACGGAGCGCUUGCGCAACGUAAUAUGGACGUAACCAUGCUCCCGAGAAAAUCCGCUAAACUUAUCCAUGCGGCACCCGUACCGUAAACGGACACACGUGGUCGGGUUGAGAAUACUGAGGCGCUCGAGUGAUUCACGGUUAAGGAACUAGGCAAAUUGACCCUGUAACUUCGGGAUAAAGGGUCCUCGUCGUAAGGCGAGGCGCAGAGAAUAGGUCCAGGCAACUGUUUAACAAAAACACAUGGCUGUGCUAAAUGGAAACAUGACGUAUACAGCCUGACACCUGCCCGGUGCUGGAAGGUUAAGAGGAGAUGUCAUCGCGAGAGAAGCGUUGAAUUGAAGCCCCAGUAAACGGCGGCCGUAACUAUAACGGUCCUAAGGUAGCGAAAUUCCUUGUCGGGUAAGUUC